CAUGCAAGUCGAACGGAAAGGCCCUUCGGGGUACUCGAGUGGCGAACGGGUGAGUAACACGUGGGUGAUCUGCCCUGCACUUUGGGAUAAGCCUGGGAGACUGGGUCUAAUACCGAAUAUGACCGCGCACUUCCUGGUGUGUGGUGGAAAGCUUUUGCGGUGUGGGAUGGGCCCGCGGCCUAUCAGCUUGUUGGUGGGGUAAUGGCCUACCAAGGCGACGACGGGUAGCCGGCCUGAGAGGGUGACCGGCCACACUGGGACUGAGAUACGGCCCAGACUCCUACGGGAGGCAGCAGUGGGGAAUAUUGCACAAUGGGCGCAAGCCUGAUGCAGCGACGCCGCGUGAGGGAUGACGGCCUUCGGGUUGUAAACCUCUUUCAAUAGGGACGAAGCGCAAGUGACGGUACCUAUAGAAGAAGGACCGGCCAACUACGUGCCAGCAGCCGCGGUAAUACGUAGGGUCCGAGCGUUGUCCGGAAUUACUGGGCGUAAAGAGCUCGUAGGUGGUUUGUCGCGUUGUUCGUGAAAACUCACA
rnacentral:rRNA from 1 species